rnacentral:rRNA from 1 species
GUGGGGAAUCUUGCGCAAUGGGCGAAAGCCUGACGCAGCCAUGCCGCGUGGAUGAUGAAGGUCUUAGGAUUGUAAAAUCCUUUCACCGGUGAAGAUAAUGACUGUAGCCGGAGAAGAAGCCCCGGCUAACUUCGUGCCAGCAGCCGCGGUAAUACGAAGGGGGCUAGCGUUGCUCGGAUUUACUGGGCGUAAAGGGCGCGUAGGCGGACAUUUAAGUCAGGGGUGAAAUCCCGGGGCUCAACCUCGGAACUGCCUUUGAUACUGGGUGUCUUGAGUAGGAGAGAGGUGGGUGGAACUCCGAGUGUAGAGGUGAAAUUCGUAGAUAUUCGGAAGAACACCAGUGGCGAAGGCGACACACUGGCUCAUUACUGACGCUGAGGCGCGAAAGCGUGGGGAGCAAACAGGAUUAGAAACCCUGGUAUCC